CCCUGGUAUUAAUGAAUUGGCAGGAUUAUUAUAAUUAAAGAAAUUUAAGGAUUUUGGCGGUUAAUUAUUAUUAGAGGAGCUUGUUUAUAGAAUUUACUCUAUAUAUUUUAUUAAUUUUUGUUUAUUUAUCUCCGUUACUAGGUAUUAGCUUAAUAAGAUUUAUAAAAUUACUAAAAUUUCAGGUCAAGAUGUAGCUUAAGUUAUUAUUAAUUAGCUACAUUUAUGUUAUAAAGUGAAUUUAUACCUAAAAUAGAAAUAAAUAAUGAAAUUGAAUUUAAUUGUAAUUUUAUUUAUGAAAAUAAGAUGAAGUUUUAUAAUUAAUGUU
rnacentral:rRNA from 1 species